ensembl:lncRNA
GCCGAGUAGGCCUCUCCCCAAUCUGUGCGGCGCAGCAGUUCCAUGACUGGGCAUAUCGAGCUCGACAGCCCGCUCGCGCCCAAGCGGCAGAACUAACCCGGUUGGCCCACCAUUGGCUGUUGACAGGGGGUCCCUCCGCACACAAGGUAGCUGAGCGUGUGGUGAUCGACCGACUCCUCCGCGCCCUCCCCCGCGCGUUGAGGCAGGCGGCUGGCAUGAGGAAUCCCACCGAUCUCGACGAGCUCGUGGAGGCCAUUGAGCUGGCGGAGGCCGCCCAACACCGGGAGGUAGGGGAGCGAGCGCCGCCUUUUCCCCGAAGGGUGGUCCAGGAGCGACGCUCGCCGGAGGGCACCCAGCGACCCGUGAGCAGGCCUGCGGUUCCCGGCCCCCAGGACGAGCCGAGGUGCACAUCAAUGGCCGGCCGUUCAUCGCCCUCCUCGACUCGGGCAGCGGGGUAAGCCUGAUACAACCAACUGUCCUUCCGCCCAGAACCGGUUCCAGAGCCCAGCUGGCGAUAACGUGCGUGCACGGGGAUACCAGGCAUGUACCGGCACGGCGAGUGACCAUCACCGCGACACCUGGUUCCUGGCCCGUCGAAGUGGGAAUCUUAAAGGACCUACCGGUACCCGUUCUCCUCGGCCGGGAUUGGCCGGGGCUCGAUCAGCUCCUCACCUCCAGCACACAGCCUGCUAGCCUGGCCGGGGACCGCCGACGCCGGAGAUCAGCAAGGCGCCCUCGACGACGCCCCGCGCUGCUGACGUCGGACAGCCCUCGAGGAGGUGAGUCCCCCUCCCAAAACUCUAACCUGUUCUUUGAUGUCACACACACACACACACACACACACAGUAGUCAACAUUUGAAGUGGAUCAAAACCUUUCAUCAAAGUUGUCCUAAAACCAAAAUUCGUUCUUGUCUUAGGGCAGCUUUGAUUAACUUUUUUUGAUCCACUUCAAAUGUUGACUACUGUGUGUGUGUAUUAUAUAUAUAUAUAUAUAUAUAUAUAUAUAUAUAUAUAUGGUUUUAGAAUGAAGAUUUUACCAAAAUAACAGCUCAAUGGUUUAAUGUUUGAAAAUGAAGAAAAUUAUGA